rnacentral:lncRNA from 1 species
AUGUUGCCAUGGUGCCUUCUCCCCCCCUCACGGAACCCCUCCGGCAGAGUCCCCGAGCGGUCCAGGGUGGGGCCAGGACGUGCAGCCGGCUGUGCCGGCUCAAAACACACGUCACAAGCACUCACAUUGUUUUUCACAAACAUGUCACGCUCAAGGAGCAUUAAAAAGUUCGCUGCCGCAUCCAGACAAAAUGUCAAGGGCGCAGCAAAAAUCAAUAAAAAUGUUACCCAUGAGCGGUCCCAGGCGGGGGCGGCCCCUGGCGGACUUUCUAGCCAGCCACGGGUCGUCCCCGUACACCUGGGCCGUCAAAGCACAAAGCCCCCGCGCAUGCGCAGUGGUUGCCACGAGCACCGCUGCCCCACAACCUCUGGAGGGAGCUGCUGCUCCGUGUGUCACGGCUGUGUCACCGCUCUCCACUCACAUGGAGGAAUGGACAGCGGUUUCUGCUUCACAUUGGGUGCUGAGAACUAUUUCGAGAGGUUACAGGCUCCAAUUCGCUUCUGUUCCUCCUCGAUUCUCCGGCGUAGUGUUCUCCCACGCCCAGGGGACGUCAGCUCACAUCCUUCAGGGAGAAAUCUCCUCCCUGCUGGAGAAGGGAGCGAUAUGCAUUGUGCCUCCCGAUCGGUCUCAGAGCGGUUUCUACUCCAGGUACUUCCUGGUCCCGAAACGGGGAGGGACCGGGAUUCGCCCGAUCCUGGAUCUGAGGGCCCUGAACCGAUGCCUCAGAAAGUACAGAUUCAAAAUGCUCACGCUCUCAUCCCUUUUGCGUCUGAUUCACCAGAGCAACUGGUUCACCUCAAUCGACCUGAGGGACGCAUACUUUCAUGUUCCCGUGUACCCUCCACACAGGAAAUUUCUGAGGUUUGCCUUUCAGGGAGUGUGUUACGAAUACACCGUGCUCCCAUUCGGCCUCUCGCUGAGCCCGAGGGUGUUUGUCAGGUGUACGGAGGCGGCGAUCGCCCCUCUGAGAGGGAGGGGCAUUCGGCUGGCCACGUAUUUAGACGACUGGCUCCUGCUGGCACGGUCCAGAGAGGAGACAGCGUCAAACACGCUGGUUGUGAUCCCUCACUUGUGUGGUCUGGGUUUCAGAAUAAACUGGCAGAAAAGCGCUUUACUCCCCUCCCAGAAAAUAACCUUUCUAGGUCUGAAUCUGGACUCAGGGGCGUUCACGGCCCGUCUCUCGACACCGCGCGUGAACGCGCUCUCGCUCUGCCUGGCGCGCUUCCGCCUACACAGUUCGGUGCGGUUUGCGUUAUGCCUCAGGCUUUUGGGUCUCAUGGCGUCGGCUAUUUCAGUGGUACCACUCGGCCGUCUACACAUGAGAGAUUUUCAACGCUGGGUGGCUUCUCUGGGUCUCUCUCCAGUGCGCCACAGAGCGCGCAGGGUGACGGUCUCUGCAGCGUGCGUCGCGGCGCUCCGCUGUUGGCGUCACCCCUCCCUCUUGGCACAAGGGGUGCCUUUGGGGUUGGUUCUCGUGAGGAAAGUGGUCACGACAGAUGCGAGCCUGUCAGGUUGGGGGGGGCUCCUGGAGGGUCGCUCUGUCAGGGGUGUGUGGAGCAGAGAGCUCUGGGGGACACACAUAAAUUAUCUGGAACUCCUCGCGGUCUUUCUGGCCCUGAGGCGCUUCCUGCCUUUUCUGUCCGGCCAUCAUGUCCUAGUGAGAACAGACAACACCACGACUGUGGCAUAUAUAAACCGCCAGGGGGGGCUGCGCUCCAUGCGGUUACACACACUGGCACGCAGACUGAUCCUAUGGUGCAGCAGGCAUCUCCUCUCAAUCAGAGCCACCCACGUCCCGGGUGUUCUGAAUCGGGGGGCGGAUCUGUUGUCCAGAGGGACACCCCUGUACGGGGAUUGGAGCCUGCAUCCAGCAGUGGUGGAACAGAUUUGGAUCCGGUUCGGCACAGCCGUAGUGGAUCUUUUUGCCUCCAAGGAGAAUGCUCAGUGUCCUCUGUUCUUCUCCCUGCGCGACCGAGACGCUCCACUCGGCGUGGACGCGCUGGCGCACGACUGGCCACGGGGUCUGCUUUACGCUUUUCCCCCAGUGGCCCUGAUACCACCCACCUUGCUGAGGGUACGAACCCAGCGCCACACUCUCAUUCUGGUGGCCCCAUACUGGCCAGCCAUGCAUUGGGUGGCGGACAUUUUCCAGCUCCUGGAGGGCCAACCUUGGAAACUUCCGCUUCGCAGGGACCUGGUGUCCCAAGCGGGAGGCUCGAUCUUCCACCUUCAUCCAGAACGGCUGGCCCUGUGGGCCUGGCCCCUGAGGGGUGCGGGCUAGUGUCAGCAGAGCUGCCCCAGGCAGUCAUUCGAACCAUUCAGAAUGCUAGGGCCCCCUCCACUAGGUCCCUAUAUGACUGUAAAUGGAGGGUGUUUGAAGCCUGGUGUCAGGGCAGGGAGGUCUCACCCUUCCAAUGCCCGGUGAACGUCAUUCUGUCUUUCCUGCAAGACUUGUUGGAUGGGAAGAAGGCUUUCUCCACCAUUAAAGUGUACCUAGCAGCCAUUUCCGCCCGACACUUGGGUUUUGGGAGGAAAUUGGCAGGUCAACACCCCCUGGUGUGUAGCUUCAUGAGGGGCGCGCGCAGGCUUCUCCCUGUGUCUCGACCCCUGGUGCCCUCAUGGGAUCUGUCCUUGGUGCUGUCGGCCCUCUCCGGGCCUCCAUUUGAACCUAUGGACGGCCUGGACCUUAAGAUCCUGUCUCUUAAGGUGGUGCUACUCCUGGCUUUGGUAUCUGCAAAGCGAGUUAGUGACUUACAGGCUCUCUCUGUGCACCCAUCCUGCACCCAGUUUGCACCAGGUGACAUGAAGGUGUCCUUGAAGCCCAACCCUGCCUUUGUGCCUAAGGUGGUGGGCUCCUUUUCUCCUAUUAUCCUCACAGCUUUCUACCCACCGCCCUUCUCCUCUCCUGAGGAGGAGCGGUGGCACAAGCUGUGUCCGAUUCGCGCGCUCAAGGAGUAUGUGAAUCGGACAAAGAACCUUCGCAGGGGGGACCAGCUUUUUGUGUCAUGGGGUGGGCCUCGUAAGGGGAAACCCGUCACAAAGCAGAGGCUUUCCCACUGGAUUGUGGAGGCUAUUUCUAUGGCUUACUCCUGUCAGGGCAUUCAGGCACCUGUUGGGCUCAGGGCCCAUUCUACUAGGGGCCUGUCUGCUUCUUGGGCCCUUUUUCGGGGGCUGUCAAUCCAGGAGAUUUGUGCUGCAGCAAGUUGGGCUUCUCCACUUGCAUUUGCACGCUUCUAUAAGCUUGAUGUUUCGGUCCCUGCAAUGACUCACACGAUUCUGAGUGUGGGGUCUUUGGCGGGCCAAGACGUAUCCCUGUAG